rnacentral:rRNA from 1 species
CCUACGGGUGGCAGCAGUGAGGAAUAUUGGUCAAUGGGCGGAAGCCUGAACCAGCCAAGCCGCGUGAAGGACGAAGGUGCCAAGCAUUGUAAACUUCUUUUGUCAAGGGACAAAAUCAGGCUCGAGAGCCUGACCGAGGGUACUUGAAGAAAAAGCAUCGGCUAACUCCGUGCCAGCAGCCGCGGUAAUACGGAGGAUGCGAGUGUUCCCCGGUUUUAUUGGUUUUAAGGGGUGCGUAGGCGGAGUGUUAAGUCAGGGGAAAAGCCCGGGGCUCAACCCCGGCGAGCCGUUGAAACUGGCUGUCUUGAGAUGUCGAGAGGUAUGCGGAAUGCGCAGUGUAGCGGUGAAAUGCUUAGAUAUUGCGCAGAACUCCGAUUGCGAAGGCAGCAUACCGGCGGCGAUCUGACGCUGAGGCACGAAAGCGUGGGUAUCGAACAGGAUUAGAUACCCGUGUAGUC